rnacentral:rRNA from 1 species
AUUGAACGCUGGCGGCAGGCUUAACACAUGCAAGUCGAACGAGUGGCGGACGGGUGAGUAAUGCUUGGGAAUCUAGCUUCUGGAGGGGGAUAACUACGGGAAACUGUAGCUAAUACCGCCUACCAUAGGAUGAGCCCAAGUGGGAUUAGGUAGUUGGUGAGGUAAAGGCUCACCAAGCCGACGAUCUCUAGCUGGUCUGAGAGGAUGACGAGCCAAACUGGUACUGAGACACGGCCCAGACUCCUACGGGAGGCAGCAGGGGGGAAUAUUGCGCAAGGGGGGAAACGGGACGCAGCCAUGCCGCGGGAAUGAAGAAGGCCUUCGGGUUGUAAAGUUCUUUCGGUAGCGAGGCGUUAACUACAGAAGAAGCACCGGCUAACUCCGUGCCAGCAGCCGCGGUAAUUC